AGAGAGAGAGAGAGAGAGAGAGAGAGGAGAGGAGAGAUAGAGAUGGUUCUAUGGUGGGAAACAGAAACCGCUGUGCAAAGAGACGUAGAGUGGUGGUACUAAAAAGAGAGAGAGUGAGUGAGAGAUAUUGUACAUUGGUGGUAGGGAGCAGCAAGUACGAACGAUGAGUGUUUAAUAAGCGAUAACGUGCCGCUUCUUCGGUUGUAUAGAAAAUCGAUAUGUCCGAUCAUCGAUUUCAAGUUGCAUUGGGAUCCUUAAUCGAUGCACGUUACGAAAAGUAGCACGUUUCAUUUGUUCUUACGAAAAUUAGCGCUUUGUAUUUAAUAAUUAAAAAAAAAGGCAAGAAGUAAUCUGCUUGUUAUAAUGAUUCUACUGAUUAUAACAAACAUGUUACUUUUUGAGAACAAAAUCGGAAGGUGCUUUUUUCGUGAUAAAUUGAAAUGUGCUAGUUUUCAUGAGAUAAAUGAAACGUGCUACUUUCCGCAACGUACGUCGUAAUACGUUCGUUGUCAAGCUUGUUUCAAUUGAUUUGAAAAACUUAGUUUAAGUAACAAUUGCGGGAUUGUAUUUAUAUCGUUUAAAUGAAAUAUAUUUCUUUAUUAUUGUUAUUACCAAUAAUCGUAAUCACAUUAUUACGAGUGUAAACACGUAAUCCUAGGAUAUACACAAAUUAUGAUCAAAAUAAAACACAUUCUGCAUCGAUGAUGAACGAAUUUAUUAAUAUGGACGUGAUGUAACGAUUAACACGUAUUCGUAGAAUCGUAGCGUGAAAGGAGAGGUUGAAGAAGCAAGAAGGAUGACGAGGGUAUACGGCCAAGAGACAUUUCGGUAAGAAUAAAAGAGAAAGGAAAUCAUUGGAAGGGAUAACAAAAAGUCACGUCGACGGGAGAAGGAAGGGGAGGACGGGGCAGCGGUAAAAUGCAGGUAAGAGGCAGGUCGUGACACCGGUUAGUCGGAGAGACUAGAAACGCAACGAGUGAUUUCAAAAAGCUCAAAGUCGAAGGAGAAGGCGAGACGAUGGGAAAGUGCGUGACAAUACUAUACUUAACAUAUCUACUCCUUCGACCCACGAUCGAAUAACUCUGUGUACACUUCGUGAAGAAUGAAAUUGAAUUUAUAUUUCCGGAUUUCUCUUGGGUAUCACGAAAAUAAAAUGGAGAAGCGUUAGAACCGUAUGCUAAUAUUUGCAUACUUUAUAUUUGUCAUGAAGAAGUAAAAAAGGAAGAAGAAUAUUUCUCUCUUUCAUAUUUUUCUUUUUUCAAAAGAUUUGCAAAACAUUUGCCAAAGCAUAAGUGUUCGUGGAAGAUAGAACGUCCGAGAGCGGAGAGAAAUGAAGAAAGAAAAAUGUAGAAAAGAAAAUACAGAAAGCGAAGAAGGGAGAGAUGAAAAUUCUGCCUAUAUUAAUGCUGAUGAGAAAGCUCGAAGAAGAGAAUAAGAAGAACAAAUAGAGGAUAAAAAAGAUGGAGCAGUUGGUUUAAGAAGAUGGAAAAGAGCGAAUCAAGUGGCAGGAGUAAGGAAGUAAAGACAAGUGCGACAAGUGUUCGACGCACGCGCGACCUACGAGCGGAGACACGCUGAUCGAUCCCUAAAGAGACCUCGAGUGUGAUGUCAUCGGCAAGCCGGAUCUGUUCCAGGCUUAAGCGAUGUGUCAACUUGCUGAUUGAACGUUAUUUGUCGAUGAAUAAAGCAAAAAAAAAAAAAAACAAAAAAAAAAAAACAAAAAAAAGAAAAUAAAAAGGAAGAAAAAACAAGAAGAACAAAAAAAAGAAAAAGAAGGAAGUGUCUCAAGGACAAUAAGAAUUAACGAACGUCUCCGGAACUAUUGGAAGGAUCAUCACUGAGAAGAGAGAAACGAAUAUAUGUAUCUGAAACAAGUAAACAUAUUUUAUAAAGUGUUACAUUAUUUAAGUUUCUAUUUCUUCGACGUAAAUAAUGAAAUAAAUGAAUAAAAGGAUUUUAAUUAAUAAA